rnacentral:lncRNA from 1 species
GGAUUUGGACCUAUUCUUAUCUCUUGUUGAAAGCUGCAGGCUCCUCUCUAGACAGAUGAGGCUGAAGAUAAGGACACAACAUUGAAAAACUGAGAAACAGCUCGUUAGGAAAUAACUACCCAAAACACCAGAAGAGGCCAAAGAAAGACUUGAUUUCCACUCAGCUCCAGGAUGCCAACUCCUGAAUCUGACAAUAAUACCAUCUAACGAAGGGCUAAAGACCAAGCCAUACAAGCACGCUGUGUACAAAGCUGCCCAUGGCUGAAGAAAGAUCAUUGAUUCACUACAUCUCAUUUGGGAAUUUCCCUCAUCUUCCGUAUCUUUCUAAAAGACUCAUAAUCAAGCUGAAGGGUAAUCUGUUCUUCUGGAGUAGUUUUUUUGACAGUAUCUCCCAUUAUAACUAUACUUCAUUUGAAACACUACAACAUUAACUGGAAAGAGG